GCUGGAAUUGCUAGUAAUGGCAGGUCAGCAUACUGCCGUGAAUACGUUCCCGGGCCCUGUACACACCGCCCGUCACACCAUGAGAGUUGGGAAUACCCGAAGCCUGUGGAGCUAACUUAUAGAGGCAGCAGUCGAAGGUAGAAUCAAAUGAUUGGGGUGAAGUCGUAACAAGGUACC
rnacentral:rRNA from 1 species